AUCUCUAACAGUAAAUUAUUAUUAGUAAGACUCUGCACAAUGAACAUUAAAUCGCCGCAAUUUUAUGUGCUAAGGUAGCAUAAUCACUUGCCUUUUAAUUAAAGGCUAGAAUGAAAGGUUUAACACUUUAAAUUCUGUAAUCUUAUAACUAUUUGAAAUUUUCAUAUAGAUAAUAAUAUCUAUUUCAUAAGGGGGACGACAAGACCCUGUUGAACUUAACAUAUUUGUUUUUCUGGGGUGGAAAUUAAACUAAAUCUUUUUUCUUAUUUUUAAAACAACAAAAACCUUUAAUCUUAAACAAGUUACCACAGGGAUAACAGCACAAUUUUUUCUAAAAGAUCACAUUUAAGAAAAAGAUUAUGACCUCGAUGUUGAAUUAUUUAUCUUUUAUUUUGAAGCAAAAAUCUAAAAAGAAAGUCUGUUCGACCUUUAAAUUUUUACAUGAUUUGAGUUCAGACCGGCGCAAGCCAGGUCGGAUUCUAUCUCCUUUUCAUUCUUCUUAGUACGAAAGGACCAAAAGAAUAUUAAUUUAAUUAUCCU
rnacentral:rRNA from 1 species